UACGAGGGGGGCAAGCGUUGUUCGGAAUUACUGGGCGUAAAGGGCUCGUAGGUGGCCAACUAAGUCGGACGUGAAAUCCCUCAGCUUAACUGGGGAACUGCGUCCGAUACUGGAUGGCUCGAGUUUGGGAGAGGGAUGCGGAAUUCCAGGUGUAGCGGUGAAAUGCGUAGAUAUCUGGAGGAAUACCGGUGGCGCAGGCGGCAUCCUGGACCGACAUUGACGCUGAGGAGCGAAAGCCAGGGGAGCAAACGGG
rnacentral:rRNA from 1 species